AUAUGAGCGGGCAGGAAGCGCCGGGGAGGGAGCGAGGGGAGGGCGCCCGGAGCCGCUCGGCGGGCAGGGCCGGCAGACAGACAGACACACGGACAGACAGACACACACACAGACAGCUCGGCAGCAGCCACAGCAGCGACAGCAGCCACAGCAGCGACCGUCCGUCCCCACGGCCAUGGGGCUCGGCCGGCUCCCCGCACCCCGCCCUUUUCAGGCAAGGCGGCUCAGAGCACCGUCCCCCCGGGUGUCUGGGGUUGGUGGUGAGGACAGAAAGGCACAAGAGAAAGCUGUCAGUUGGAGACAGUGGUCAGAGAAGCCAAGAAAACAAACAUCUAGGAAAAACACCUGGCUUCUGGGACUCAUUUCCUUAAGAAGCAAAGUGGAGAGCAAAAACAUGUGGGAUGACUAAAAUAUGAAGGAAAACCGUGCUCAUAUUUGGCGACAAGCCUUGCCUUUCAGCACUGACGGUAGGGCUUGGUUUCCCAAGGACAUAGGACAUAUGUGGCUCUCAUGGACAGGACUCCCACUCCAUCUACCCCUUCUCCUUGCUGCUGGCUGACACAGCCACUGGCAGAAUCAGUACUGGGAAUAAUACCCUGCUGUGACCCUGUAAUGUAAAAACAAUUUUGCAGAAACAAGUCCCGGAGGCACUUGGUUUUCUUUUAAGAAUACUCUAGAUUCUCUCAAUCA
rnacentral:lncRNA from 1 species